rnacentral:rRNA from 1 species
CCUACGGGGUGCAGCAGUGAGGAAUAUUGGUCAAUGGACGCAAGUCUGAACCAGCCAUGCCGCGUGCAGGAAGACGGCUCUAUGAGUUGUAAACUGCUUUUGUACGAGGGUAAACGCAGAUACGCGUAUCUUUCUGCAAGUAUCGUACGAAUAAGGAUCGGCUAACUCCGUGCCAGCAGCCGCGGUAAUACGGAGGAUUCAAGCGUUAUCCGGAUUUAUUGGGUUUAAAGGGUGCGUACGCGGUUGGAUAAGUUAGAGGUGAAAUCCCGAGGCUCAACUUCGGAAUUGCCGCUGAUACUGUUCGGCUAGAGAGUAGUUGCGGUAGGCGGAAUGUAUGGUGUAGCGGUGAAAUGCUUAGAGAUCAUACAGAACCCCGAUUGCGAAGGCAGCUUACCAAGCUACGUCUGACGUUGAGGCACGAAAGCGUGGGGAGCAAACAGGAUUAGAUACCCCAGUAGUC